GGGGAUUUAGCUCAGUGGUAGAGCGCUUGCCUAGCAAGCACAAGGCCCUGGGUUCGGACCCCAGCUCUG
rfam:Rattus norvegicus chromosome 10, whole genome shotgun sequence.